UGGGUGGAGAGAGACCCCCUCUCCUGGCCGCCUCACGCGGGGAGACCGGCACAGGUACACUGGAAGCAGGUGAAGGGCUGAGGGGCUGAGACUGUGGAUUCUUCCAAGCGCCCCGCUCCUCCCCCGCAGCCUUCCUUGUUGAGGGCAGGCACGCCUCUGUCUAGUCAUUGAAUUCAUCAGUCAGUGUGAAGGAGCGUUGCCUGAAGGUGUGACUCUGUACCCUCUGUACCCUGAGGACAAGGAGGGGCCACCGCACGACUCAACAAUGUGCCAAUCUCCGUGGAUUCCUGAAACACAGAGGACAAAGUAUGGACCAUAGUGUCUCACAAUUUGCAGAUGCAGACAGCAGUGGUGGGCUACAACCCAGAGAAAUACUCAGCUAGUCUACAGCGCCUCCAUGUGUCCAGGAUGUCACCUAUUUCUGCAAGAUGUCAAGGUUGUUGAACAUCCCAGGUGGAUUCUUAACCACUGCGCCACCUAGGAAGCCCAUCAGUUACAUUUUCUAAUAAGAAGCUAAACACACCUCUCUUCAACCUCCAGGCACCUUUCCAGAGGAUGAACUACUA